rnacentral:rRNA from 1 species
GACGAACGCUGGCGGCGUGCUUAACACAUGCAAGUCGAACGGAAAGGCCCUGCUUUUGUGGGGUGCUCGAGUGGCGAACGGGUGAGUAACACGUGAGUAACCUGCCCUUGACUUUGGGAUAACUUCAGGAAACUGGGGCUAAUACCGGAUAGGAUCUCCUGCUGCAUGGUGGGGGUUGGAAAGUUUCGGCGGUUGGGGAUGGACUCGCGGCUUAUCAGCUUGUUGGUGGGGUAGUGGCUUACCAAGGCUUUGACGGGUAGCCGGCCUGAGAGGGUGACCGGCCACAUUGGGACUGCGAUACGGACCAGACUCCUACGGGAGGCAGCAGUGGGGAAUAUUGCACAAUGGGCGGAAGCCUGAUGCAGCAACGCCGCGUGCGGGAUGACGGCCUUCGGGUUGUAAACCGAUUUCGCCUGUGACGAAGCGUGAGUGACGGUAAUGGGUAAAGAAGCACCGGCUAACUACGUG